GGGGUGGCGGCGCGAAGGGCCGGCGGUGCAGCGCGGCCGGAGGAUAACCCUCUUUCCUGACUUGGUUGAUGGUAUGGUCUCUGAAACUGUUGUGAUGGCCCAGGGCCUGGCAUGAGUGACCAGCUGGGAAACUGGGGAUGUGUAGGUAGACCUCGAUGCAACUUGCUUGAGUAUUUUGUUUUAGUGUGCUCACAUCUGGGCAUUUGAAGCUGAUGAAAUGCAGCACACAUCAACAGAAUUCAUCAAUUUUUAAGCAAGCAGAUAAGCAUUUGAUCCAAAAGAUGUUGCUCUAAGAGUCAGUGGACUCUAGUUUUGGCAGAACUGCUUGAAUCCUGCGACCAGGAAUGCUCUGCUGAACAUGCUGAACUGAGUCCCCAGAAGAGCAUACCAGGAACGAGUUUGGUCACAGGUGACUUUUGAUACAACCAGGCAUUUUAGUGAAGGAGCCAUAAGAGAGAGAAGCCUGAAAAGACUAAAGCUGCAAGAACAGGAGCACAUUCGAAAAAGGGGGAAAAAAAGAGAGGGGGUUGAAAGAAAAAGACGUGGUGAUGAAAAGAAGUUCAAGAGAGAAAAAAGAAAGCUAAGCUCGAGAGGAGAGAAGAGAGGCAGAUAGAUGGAGAUGAGAAACACCCCCCAAAGCAGCAGAAGGUACCAGCUGAAG
rnacentral:lncRNA from 1 species